rnacentral:rRNA from 1 species
GACGAACGCUGGCGGCGUGCUUAACACAUGCAAGUCGAGCGGUAAGGCCCUUUCGGGGGUACACGAGCGGCGAACGGGUGAGUAACACGUGGGUGACCUGCCCUCAGCUCUGGGAUAAGCCUGGGAAACUGGGUCUAAUACUGGAUAUGACUCCACGGUGCAUGUCGUGGGGUGGAAAGCCUUGUGCGGCUGAGGAUGGGCCCGCGGCCUAUCAGCUUGUUGGUGGGGUGANGGCCUACCAGGGCGACGACGGGUAGCCGGCCUGAGAGGGCGACCGGCCACACUGGGACUGAGACACGGCCCAGACUCCUACGGGAGGCAGCAGUGGGGAAUCUUGCGCAAUGGGCGAAAGCCUGACGCAGCGACGCCGCGUGAGGGAUGACGGCCUGGUGUAAC